UCUCUCUGAAAACCUAACUAUUAUGGUGUUGGAACAUUCCCAUCUGCCUAGCUUCCCAAAAAAAAAAAACAUUCCCAUCUGGCUCUAGGUCAUCUCUCUGAAAACGCAGGAGCCGUAGGAACAUUCUCAUCUGCCUCUGAGUCAUCUCUCUGAAAACGCUUCACAGCCUUCACAGCCUAGCAAACCAACGAUUGAAGCCUCGAAGAUCGUGCUCAGAUAUGCCAAAAGUUCCUACUCAAGUGGCAUCUCCAGAAGAACAUGAGAUAAAGUUGGACCUACCUGACAUACCAACGAAAGCACUGCCUGUUACUUCCAAGGUAAUUCCUGAGGAUGCUCAAGACGCUUCAGAUGGAGUUUCUGUUAGGACAAAAGGUCUCUCUCUCUCUCUCUCUCUCUCUCUCACACACACACACACACACACACAUUCACACAAUCAUAUAAAUAUAUGUAUAUACAGAUACAUACAUAUAUAUAUCCACACACACAAGGCGGAGGCCAUGGCAAGCUGUCGUCAGGGAUAAUUAUAUAUAGGGUUAUUCCACAAAAAUGGAGUUUUGGGCGUCAAAGGACAGAAGUAUGGAGUCAAAAUCAAAAUUUCCAAAUUAAUGGAAUUUUCUCAAAAUCUGACGGAACAUGGAAAUUUACGGUACAUCUAUUUUUUAUUUCCAAAAUAGCCUUCUAUUGUUGUUAUGAAAUUAUGUUACUACUCCUCAUAUCUAGAGAGAAACCCAUCUAUGGCAAUCCUUCUUCCCAAACGAACAACCAACAAACUUGAUAAAUUCAUCCAAACCUUGUGGUCAUUUGCGCUUUUCUAAUGAUUAAAUGGAUUUGUUGUUUUUUUUAUUUUUAUUUUAAAUGGGUUUACUGGUUAGGUGGGUGAAAGAGAGACAUGGCCAAUCAAAAAGAAAUAAUUGUUUUUGCCAUUGCAGAUGAACACAUUCAAAAGGGGUUGGUUUUGGGGUGUGAGAGAGACUCAUAACAGAAGGGUAUUUUGGGAAUAAAAAAAAUGAUGUACAGUAAAUUUCCAUGUCCACCUUAGACUUUGAGAAAAUUUCAAUAAUUUGGAAAACUUAAUUUUGACUCCAUUAUUUUGUUCUUUGACCCACAAAACUCCAUUUUUAUGAAAUUAUCCCUUAUAUAUAUCCACACACACGUACACACACAGGUGGCGACGAUGAUGUUGCAGUAGAGGUGGCGAUGGUGGUUGCAGUUUCGCCGUCCUCUAAGCUCACCACACUGUCGAGGAGCUCGCCACCAUCACCACCGCUUCAAACCAUCGCCUGUAGCUACAGUUUUGAUCCUUGUUCGUCGCCGGUCACUCCUUCAUCGCCGUUUAGUCAUGCCACCGGCAUCCUUGCUCGUCGCCGCUGUUCAGUUCCUCACUGAAGUUCUUCAACACUGAGCCCACGCAAAGACCGUCCCAAGCCGCCUGAAUGAUUUUAAUUAGCCACGCCACACAUUAUCACGCGUUGUCUUACCGAUCACGCGCCGGUUCUGCAAAUCGCGUGCUGAAAUUUGCCGUCAAUCAUCUUCUUCUCCUAAAUCGUGUGUCCAACACACGCCGAUGCUCCACCACACACGCGCCCGACAAAUUUCCAUAGCUACCAUCACAACUCCAGCAACUUCCACAGCAAACUGUCCUCGCCGUUCAGACCUUGGUCUCUGGAAUCGCCGACAUUGUCUCAUCUCACCGCUGGUAAUCCCAACAACCUUCACGUCGGUGAUCCCACUAUACCAAAACCAUCUGUUUGUUGGCCCAUUGGACACAACUUCACCGGCGUCGGAAUUUCUGACUACCAUUGAAAUCACCAAUCUCUGCCGAUGAUAUUAACGGUGACGAAAUAGGGUUUCUUAAUGAGCAACAUGGUUACAGUAGGGAUUCACAGAGGAAUGGAACGGGUUACAAAAGAAAUGAAAGGUUAGAGUGAGAGAGAGAUGGUCUAUGGCUGUGAUUGUGGCUGAAAUAAACUGAGGGCAAUUGUGUCUUUCUAAUAUAUGUAAUAUUUUAUAAUAAAUUUGAUUUUAAUAUUAAGGGGUAAUUUUGUCUUUUUGGAAGAUUUAAGGCCUUGUUUGGUUGGAAUUUCAUAUAAGGAGUGUCUUUGUCCCAAAAUAAGAUAAAUUGUAUGUGCGUGUCAUUUUAGUAAACCUCAAGAAUGUUGUUGUACUUUACCCUUAUUUCUAAAUUCCAGUCAUGGAGGAACCAUUGGGUGGGGUAUUGGUUUUGGGGUUUCACUUGGUAGCCUACAUCUUUACAUGUACUUCUCUAUAUAUAUAUAUAAUUAUUAUUAUUAUUAUUAUUAUUUACAUUUAAUAAAUUUGUUUCCAUUUUUGUAAUUGUGUACAUUUUUAUGAGUGGUCAUCACAAACAUCCACAUUGUAUAAUAAAUUUAUUUAUUUAUUUAUUUUUUUUUUUAUUUUUAUUUUUUUUUCUUCCAAAGUUCUUAUUAGCAAUUCAAUAAUAUUGUGGACUGAAAGUCUUUUAUUUUUAUUUUUAUUUUUUUCUUCCAAAGUUCUUAUAAGCAAUUCAAUAAUAUUGUGGACUGAAAGUCUGAGACUGUUAAACAUCAUACAUGACAAAAAAAUAAAAAAAAUAAAAAAAAUAAAAAAAGAAGAGAAAGACAGACUACUUACUCGUGGUGGUUUCGUAAGCAUUCCACUUGAAAAUGGAGAAAUUUACAAGUUGUGACCCCAAAAUAUAAAUUCAAAUUAAUCAAAUUUCUUUGCUGUAGUGCUCCGAUCCGAGUAACAUGAUUCAGAUGUAUAUUUAAAUUUUUUUUUUUUUGUCAUUUUGUUUGUUUCGAUGUAACAUAUAUUUUGAAAAUUAUUUUCUCUAUUUUUAUCUGUUUGGUUAUCAUAAAAUCAAGUUAAACAAUUUACUAAAUAAAAUAUUUUUCCUAAGUCUUACAAAAACAACUUGAAAAAUAUUUUCAGGAUCUUUGUCAAAUAUUGAAAAAAAAAUAAAUAAA